CCCCUUCCAAAAGCACUUGCUUUGUCUGCUCAGUGGCUGGGUGAGUUGUCGUAGAAGGGAAUACUGAACUCAUCACUGUGGGUGAGAUAGCAGUGAUCCUUUGUGGCUGACUAAUCUCAAUCAGUGAUGAAACACAC
rnacentral:snoRNA from 12 species